rnacentral:miRNA from 1 species
CUGUGGGCCACCUAGUCACCAG